CCUCCAGGCACCGUGAGCUCAGUUUUUAGCAGGUCACUUAACAGGGGGGCUUCGCUAGGCAGCCUUGAAAAAGCUUUCUAAGAAGACUUCAAGGGCCGCAGCGCUGUUAUUUCAGUGUGACAUUCAGAACUGCGGCGCCAUCAUCUCCCAAGCGGUGUCGCAUAUUUCCGCAGUUUGUUCCCGGUAACUUACGGCGGAGAUGCUCCGGCUUUAGUCACAUAGUCACAGACACUCUCCUGGUUCGCGUGGCUGCUACGGUGAGGAGACCACUGACCUGUGAGGAACCAGAGUGUUUACUAGACGUGAGGAUGAGAUGCAUCACUGAUUCCCUGAGGAUGGAGCACGACAGGAGUCACAUGUCUGAGAGGAUCCUAAAUCUCACCCUGGAGAUCAUCUACCUGCUGACUGGGGAGGAUUACACCAUAGUGAGGAAGAUAUCUGUUGAGUGUGAAUUACCAAGCAGCAGUCCUAUUGUGUCAGGAGGACUGAGCAGGAUCCAGAGCCCCAUCACGGUGCCUCCACCUCACUCACUGAUACAUGAGAGAGACAAUGACCAGAAGAUCCUGGAACUCACCAACAAGAUCAUUCAGCUGCUGACUG